rnacentral:lncRNA from 1 species
UUUUUUUUUUGUUCAACCCUGUCCUCGAGCAAAGCCUUCAUCGGCGACCUGCAGCACAAUGCUCACGGGCACAAUGCCGUCGUUUGGAAGAUUAUUAUUAUGCUCGUGCAGGCCUUGGAUUUGGAGUCCUUUAUAUUACCUAAGAAAAUGGGUCGUUUCAUUAAAUUUUCGUGGCAACUUGGAACAAAAUAGUGCAUAGUAGAGUCCUGCUCCUCUAGUGGUACUUGUAUGCAGUCAGCUGCCUGACACUCUGACCGAUUGAUGCCAUGCCCUGAUUAAACUACACACUCUUUGCUGCAUCAUAGUUAAAUCGAAUGUGCCAGAUUUCACUUUGCUUAGGGCUUAAGAGUUUGUAUUGACUUUGGUGAACCGUUGAGUGCCAUCUUCUUUAUUACUAGGGCCACGAAUAGUUUACAAAAUAAUAAUGGUUCACCGCAUCAGUAGUUCAGGACCUAAUGCUGGAGUGGACAUAUUUUCAAGAGCAUCUUUUUCUUUUUCAAUUUUCAUUUACAGCUUCCGGUUCAGACUGAAUUGAAGAUUGAAGUGCAUUGGAGGCUCUGACCAUUCCCUGUAUACAUGUUCUUGCAGCUUAGCGGCAGCCUUUUCCUAUGGAGUCGCAUCCAUGGCAAUGGUUUUCGUGAACAAAGCAGUUCUUAUGCAGUAUGUUCACUCCAUGACCCUGCUCACUUUACAGGUAUUGCUAAACAUCAUGGCCUAGACAAAGUUAUCUGGUUUUUGUGAACAAAGCAGUUCUUAAGCCUGGUUGUUUUGUUCAAUUUCUCCAUUACUUCUGCAGCAAAUAGCCACAGCGCUACUGAUACAUUUUGGUCAAGUUCUAGGAAUGUCUAGACGAAAAGACUUCAGCUUGAUAACUGCAAAGAAGCUUCUUCCGAUAUCAAUAUUUUACAAUGCAAAUGUGGGAUUUGCUCUAGCAAGCUUGAAAGGGGUUAACAUCCCUAUGUAUAUUGCAAUCAAGAGAAUCACUCCCCUCGCCGUGUUGGUGAGUGGGUGUGUACGGGGAAAGGGAAAGCCACCAACACAGGUGAGGAUGCAUUUCUGGAGACUUCUUUGGGCUUCCUUUUACAUAGAGUACAAUGGUUAUUACAGCUGUAGGCCCCUCACUGUCUCAAUUUGAUGUUUUGGAAAUGAAUCGAGCUCCCCAUCUCAACCGGUGUCAGUCAUUAAUUUAGCUAACUGUUGAUAUAGUUAAUCAAAAGUUUACGAGAAUUCUAACCUUGUGGGUAGCAUGAAUCACACUUUUCAAACUUUCCUGCCAAUAGAUCUUAAUAUUCGUGGUUAGCAUCAGUGCUUGUCUUCUUGCAACCAUGUCUUUCUAGUAAAAUUGUGCGAGCACUUCAGGUAAAUAUUGUAAAAGGCAUUGGCAUUGUGACUGAAAUUCUUGGUCUGCUGUACGUUUUUGUUUUGAAAUUUCAUCAUGUGCAAAUUCAAGAUCAAAAUUUAGGGAAAUGCAUUGUUUCUCUCCUGGGAAUGAGCAACUCUUUUCUAAUUUUUGCCACAUCCUGACCAAUUCGAAACUAUUUUAGGUCACUCUUUCAGUUAUCUGCACCGCUGCAGGUGUCCUUAUUGCAGCACUUGGAGAUUUUUCCUUUGACCUAUAUGGAUACUGCAUGGCUCUAACAUCAGUCUUCUUCCAGGUUACGUUAUUCCUACUCUUGUUUUGUUCUCGGAUAAUUUAUCCUAGAUCUUUCUUUCUUUUACUUGUUUGAGGCAAGGCUCAGCUGACAUCUGCAUGUGUAUGCACUAUGCAGACAAUGUAUUUGGUUCUGGUGGAGAAAUCAGGUGCUGAGGAUGGUCUUUCCUCAGUGGAUUUGAUGUUCUACAACAGUAUAUUGUCACUUCCAUUUCUGUUUUUCCUCAUUAUAGCAACAGGAGAAUUCCCCCAUUCUCUUACAGUAUUAUCUGCAAAGGUCAGUAUUCUGCUCGUGCUCAGCAUGAUCAAAAUUUGAUUAGUACAUCUAUAAGGUAGCAAUCUCUUUGAGUUCCCUUGUUUCACCCGUUUAACUCACAAUGAUGACUGGCGAUAGUUCUCCUGAGUUUUUUGAGCAAAUAGUCUCACACUUCGAUGUUGUUCAUUAACACAAUACUAGUAUUGUUAAGUUUCCGCAUCAAAUUAUAUGCUAGAUGCCUCUGUCCUAACUUGGAUUAUCCGGUGAACUGCAGACAGCCUCUCCGUCAUUCAGUGUUAUUCUUGUCAUUUCACUGGUGAUGGGAAUCGUUCUCAAUUUCACCAUGUUUUGGUGCACAAUCGUGAAUUCGGCCCUGACAACAACAAUAGUAGGAGUCCUCAAGGGUGUUGGUUCUACAGUAAGUUUACACCAUUCUUUCUUAGCAGUUUAAUCUGUUGCUUGACCAACCUUUGAUGCAUUUUAGCCCAAGUUUUAGAUGCAAGACAUCUUACACCUUGUUUUUCCCCCCACUCUUGGACGUUCAGACCCUGGGUUUUAUUCUGUUGGGAGGUGUGGAAGUACAUGCUCUUAAUGUUACUGGACUGGUGAUCAACACAUUGGGAGGUGUCUGGUACUCCUACGCCAAGUACAGGCAGAAGAAGAAAACACCACGAAAGCUGGUACCUGAUGUAGAAUCGCAUGCCCACAAGUAGCGCUAGAUCCAGUAACUUUAUAAUUUGUACCUCAUUUUUUGAGCUGACAAUGACUGGAACACCACAUUAAAGUCCAAUUUUCUGGGCUCAGUUCACCACCACUCCGCCAGCAAAUAGUUGGUGCAAGGGAAGAGAUAAGAUAGUUUAUUUGUAGGGUAAAGUACAUUUUUGUCCCUGAAGAAAGUCUGAUUUUGGACCUCCAACUCUAAAACCAUAUAAAAGGUACCCUCGAACUAUGAAUACGGUGCAUUUUUUACUCUUUGAGCUAGUUUCGGUUGGUGGUUUUCACUUUGGGUCUCAAGGCUAAACCCGCUCCACCGUCGAAAUUACACUUUGGGAGGAUCGAUCCUGCCGUUGAAAGGAAAAUCGAUAGUCGCCCUGCCGUACUUGAUGAGUUGAUGGGUUAUCGUUAAACUUCCGUGUGAUUUGACAGUGCAUAUACAUCUACCGAUCAUCAAACGCGUCCAAGGCCAUGUUUAGGCCUUGUUUACUUCCCACUUUGGGAGUGAUAAAAUUGGCAUUUUGCCAUAAAUGCGCAACUGUAGCGUUUCGUUUGUAUUUGUGAAUUAUUGUCCAAAUAUUGACUAAUUAGGCUCAAAAGAUUCGUCUCGCAAAGUACAACAAAACUGUGCAAUUAGUUUUUGAUUUCGUCUACAUUUAGUACUCCAUGCAUGUACCGCAAGUUUGAUGUGAUGGGGAAUCUUCUUUUUGCAUAGUAUCAAAGUUGGGAGUUUGGAGGGAACAAGGGCUUAGUUACCCCCAACUCCCAACUUUGACACUAUGCAAAAAGAAGAUUCCCCAUCACAUCAAACUUGCGGUACAUGUAUGGAGUACUAAAUGUAAACGAAAUUAAAAACUAAUUGCACAGUUUUGUUGUACUUUACGAGACGAAUCUUUUGAGCCUAAUUAGUCAAUAUUUGGACAAUAAUUCACAAAUACAAACGAAACGCUACAGUGUGCUACGGUGCUAGCACAGUAAUUUUGCAUCUCCCAAUUUGACCAACUAAACAAGGCCCAAGAUUCAGGUCCCGGCUUCGUUGGACCUGUCAAACUUACAAUAAAGAAAAUUCAGAGUCGUUUGCUCUAAUUUCAAUGUUUCACCGCAUCGCUUACUUUGCAUAGAACUAGCAGACACCCCCAAACGUGUUGAUCACCAAUCCAUAAAAUUAAGAGUGUACACUUCCAAACACCUCCCAGUUGAAAGGUGGAUGGAAUGAUAGGGAGGGCACAAUUUCAUACUGGGAAAGCAUCCCAAUAAAUGUUUCCCAAUAAGUAGUUAAUAAGGAUAUCCCAAUAUCACUUUCAUUGUUAUUGAGAGAGUUGCGGUGAAUUAUUGGGUUGUCCCAAUAAUUAUUAGAAAAAGGGAAAGGUAAAGGGAGACUGCUGGAGUACUAUUUUCUUAUCAACUCUCUCAAUAUAGUAGUUGGAUUGGGAAAUGGGAGUCCGCUGAAGAUGCUCUUAAGAGGGUAGGUUGGAGGACGGAACAAGACCACAAAUAAUGAACGGGAACGGAUACCGGAACGCUUCCUUCCACAAGUUCUGUAUAUGGAUCAGCUAGAGAUUAUAAAAGAGAUUAUAAAAGCUGUUAGAAAAAACUCUAUCUGAUCAAAAUAUGAUAAAACACUUGACAUCAAUGACUCUCGGUUUUAUUAGACAACCACUUGACAUCAAUGACUCUGGGUUUUAUUAGACAACCACUUGACACCACUUAAGCUAAGUCACCAUGACUUAGCUUAAGUCACGGGCGCUAGCGGAUAGGCGUUUUCUUAACAUAAAGGUAGUACAUGGAUCACGCAAUGCAAAUACUCCGUAAACAAGCAAAUUUCAUCACGUGCUCAACGUCUUCUUUGAUGCCCAUGUUCCAUCAAUUGAUCUUGAGGCUUUCCAGGAAGGUGCUGCCACUGGCCCGGCCGGCCAAGAGAAACCGGGUGUAGUCCCUCAGAGUGCUCCCCUUGUACAUGGUCGGAUGGCGGUCGUCCACCAGCUCCUUGGCCACCUCCACGCUCUCAUCCAUGGCCCAGUUCGUCAGGCUGGUUAUAGACACCCUGCUCGUGUCAGUGUCACCCCGUCCCCAGAGCACCCUGUGCACCGCCGCCCUGUACCGCCCGUUGCUCAUGGCCUCGAGGCAAUCCCCGACGUGCACGGUCAGGGACGGCGGCGGCGGCGGCGAUCCGCCUUCGGCUCCGCGCCGGUGCGGCGCCGCGAGCCACGCCCCGGUCACCCGGUCGAGCUCCUCGAGGCCCUCGUGGGUCGAUAGAAUGACGCUGAUGAAGGUGUAGUCCGUGUGGUCGCCGCAGCGGAGGUCGUCGCUGCCCGAGCUCACAGGCGGCGGGGGGUACAAGCUCAAGAGCAUCAUCUCGAAGCCAUUCUCCAUCUGGCUGCUCAGGUAGUAGCGCCCGAGCCCGAGGCUCUCGGUGAUGGCUUCCAUUAGGUCUGACACCAGCUUAUUCCUCACUUCCCUUGCAUACUUGCCCAUCUUCUCCCUGAAAAAGAAAAAGUUUGCAAAUUUUAAAGUGGUUACUGAAUUGUCGAUUGCCAGUGACGAUGAGGGCUGCGAUGCGAUCGAGGCAGGCAAGAGCAGACCUGUACUGCGAUGGCUUUGCUGGCCAGUUGCCGAUCCACUUCUCCAACGGAUAGGAGUACUGCUUCAGGACAUGUCGAUGGACCUUGACCUCGCCACCGUCGAGUGCAGAGGACGAGGUGACGUAGCGGACAGGCAGGGUGAUGUCGUCGGACGCCAGGGCCGACCUGUCAUCCAUUGGCAGGCUGAAGAACGCGGCGGCGGCGGCGAGAGCGUUGCGGAGGAUGUCCGUGCUGAUCCCAUGGUUAAUGACCUGACAGGGACAGACACACACGGAUAUAUUGGAGCAGAUCGAUCAGAGGCUAAUUAAUCAUUCGAUCGAGGGAGAUGAGCAUGAAGCCAUGAACGCACCUGGAAGAACCCCUUCUCCUGGCACACCCUGCCGACAUCCUGCACUGCAGCUGACCUCUCCGACGAGGUGCCCCGCAGCUUGCUCAAGUCUAUGAUUGGCACAUCACCGGCGGAGUCCAUGGAGAACCGACGGACCUGAUGAUCUGUUCAGAGAACAUUUUCUUUUAUGGAAACCGGAGGGGCGCACCCUACUGGUAAUAUAUUGCAAAUAAAGGGUGUGUUUGAUUUGGGUCGAAUCGGGUUGGAACGGGUUUGACCCCAUCGAUCCGCGUUUGGUUGAAAAUGUAUCUGAGUUGGGUCAGAUCCAGGAGGGAAUACUACUCCUAGAUGUGGGUUGAAUGCAUCCAUCCAAAACGAGCGGACACACUCGACCCGCAUGCACGUCGUUGGCGUCCGUUUCACGUGUGAGGAGAGAGAGGCGCAGAGGAGCAUGAGGAAGAGGCCGGCGUAGAGGAGCGGCCGCCAGCGUGGGGGAGGGAGGGAGGAGCGGCAGCCACGUGGGGGAGGGAGGGAGGAGCGGCGGCGUGGGGGAGGGAGGAGGGCGGCCGGCGCGGGGAGAGGGAGGGAGGCUAGAGGAAGAAGAUAAGGUGAGUUAAAAAAAGAAAAGGAUGGCAUAUGGGUCCCGCAGCUGACAGGUGGGAUCCAUUGCUAAUGGUGUUAAAAUGGCAUCCAUCCCAUCCCUCACAACACCUCCAACCAAACAAAAGACUGGGAUGAACACAUCCCUCUCAUCCAAAUACAAGAUGGGUUGAACCCAAUCCAUAAAAGUGGGAUGAACCCAACCCAUUCCACUUGGUUCCAAAACCAAACACAUGCAAAAAGAGUUAACAGGAAUAAAAAAAGAACCACCACAAAAGAAGGAGAAAAGAAAAAAGAAACUAGGCAGGAAGGGAGAGAGCCAAGAAGAAAAGAUUACAGAGAGUUUAGCUAUAGCUCCAUUGAAUUCAAAAGGCUGGGGUUUGCUCUUAAAAGCACAAGAGAGAACUUCGAGAUAAAUUUCCUCCUACAAGAUGCAACAGUAGGGUCGAUUUAUUGAAGAUCAAGUCGUUUCUUAUUGUUCAUAUACUCCAGGCUAUUAGGAUGAUUAUUUCCACGAAGAAAGGGAUUAGGGACUCCCAGUUACUGCCUGAUCCUUCUGAUUAUCUGCAGAAUUGGUCUUGUAGAUAUUACUAUCACGCCAAUAGAAGUCCAGCAUGCAUUAGCAAAAUUACAGCGAAUAAACAGGUGUGCUGCAAUUUCUGGUCUUUGCAAGAUAUAGAGAUCACACGUGUAUGAAUCCAAAACUGAUGAGAACAUCAGCUACUUGAAUACAACCACGUUAGUAACUUUUGAUUCACAAGUGAAACAAUUCUUUACCAUGAUUGUAUUUGAUACAUUUGAUGAAUUGAUAUUGCAUCAUGAUGUGUGUUCGUUGUCAAUUUCAGAAAUAUAUACGUGGAUCAAAAAUAGUGUUAAACACACAUGGAAGGCAUGGAGGACCAAAGAAGUAGAUUGGGGGCUAAGUCCAAGUAUUCCCAACGUUCUUCACUAGACCACCACGUCACUUUUGGCCCAAGGAAAGAAAGAGAUCCAAUCCAACACGUUUUGGGGCUGGAUUCAGACCGCAGCUCUGUUACCAGGCUCGCGUCUCUAGCACGUUCUAGCCUAGGACCAGCACAAUAACAUCAUUGAGCAUUUGUUCAAUUCGCUUACAACUAACGUGGUUUUAGUACUUCCUUGUAAAUUCCUUUCAGCCCACCUACAGCUCCACAUAUUCGACUACAGCUUGAUAGGGAUUGUUGCUUUGGUACCAAUACACUUUCUUCCGCGGUUGCAGACUUGUUGGUUGCCGUCACCUCCUGUUUGGCUUGGUAAGAACUUGUAAGGGCUUGUUUUAACAAGUUGAGUUUGAGAGAAUUACAACCGACAUAUCCUAGUAGUUGACAGGAGGAUACAUAUUAUUUUUGUGUUUCUUAUUUUCUACUAAUCAUGGCAGGUGAUACGGAGAUUUUUGAGCUAUUGAAACUAGACCCUCAUAUUCAAAAUGUUAUUCAACACUUGCCGUUAUACGAUGGUUUGAUCCUAAAACUUACAUUGAUUGGGAGCUAAAAGUAGAUAAUGAAUUUGAUGAGCAUGACUUGUCCGAGAAACAAAAGAUUUAUAUUGCCUCUAAUGUUUUGACUGGAUAUGCUUUGCUAGAAUGGAAACACAUUUGUAGGAAUAACAAAGUUCUAGAAUCUUGGGAAGACUUCAAAUUUCUUUUUAGAGAUGCAUUCAUUCCGGAAUAUUAUGCUAAUUAUUUGCUUGCAAAAUUAGUCAACUUGAGGCAAGAUAGUAGGACUGUGAAAGAAUACUUCUAUAAUUUUAAAAUUUGUAUCAUGUUUGGUGGAUUAGAUGAGUGAAUGGAAGAUGUUAUGAGUAGGUUCAUGAGAGGGCACAAUUUUGAAAUUCAAACCUUAUUAAUUAGCAAUUAUUAUAGCCAUAUUGGUCAAUUAUUUUGUCUUGCUCCCAAUGCUGAAAAGAAGAUUCUAGUAUUUGUGAAUAAUUGCAAGAAUGAUGUGACUCAUAAUAUCCAAAAUUUAUCCACUCUGCAUGCUAAUGAAGAGCAACAAAUAGUGAAACCCACUGUCAAUUUUCCUUUGUCACAAAAUGAAUUACUUGCUGUUCCUUAUGAUGAAGAGGACUUGUGUGCUGAUGAUUCUUUGACUCCUAUGCCACAAGUACUGAAUAAGUGUGAUAAUUUUAGUUUGGAACCAUAUAAAUGUGCUGAAGAUAAGCAUUUUCAUUCUAUUACUUAUGCACAAGAUGAACUGAAUUUGCUAUCCUCUUUAAAUACUUUAGGUUAUAUUGAAUUUGAUAUUCUGUGUAAUCUAAAUUGCCUAAAAGAGAAACUUAAAUUUGAUUCUGGUUUGCCAAGUUUUAAUCAUUGUUCGCUUUAUCCAAUUGGCAAAUACAACAACAAAGGAGAAUAUUUGGUGCAUAAAGUUUAUAUUUGCUCUAAUCUGAAAUAUCCUUUUGGGCAACAAUAUCAUGAUCAAAUAAGGGUUGCACUAACACUAAUAAUGUCUUGCAAAGUUUUUCUAGUUUUUCCCAUAUGCAAUAGGGUAAGGCUAAAGAAGGGGAGCAUUACUGGUUGUGGCCAUGCAGCAUUGUCAUCGCUCUAUGCACCAACAUCAAAGCAAGCACCUUAGAAUGCCAUUGGAGCCAAGAAGGGGAGAAUGAUGAGGAGAUCACCUACUCGGAUACAACCAUAUUAGUAACUUUUGAUUCACAGGUGAAACAAUUCUUUACCACGAUUGUAUUUGAUACAUUUGAUGAAUUGAUAUUGCACCAUGACAUGUGUUCGUUGUCAAUUUCAGAAAUACAUACGUGGAUUAAAAAUAGUAUUAAACACACAUGGAAGGUAUGGAGGACCAAAGAAGUAGAUUGGGGGGCCAAGUCCAAAUAUUCCCAACGUUCUCCAGUAGGCCACCACGUCACUUUUGGCCCAAGGAAAGAAAGAGAUCCAAUCCAACACAUUUUGGGGCUAGAGUCGGACUGCAGCUCUAUGCCAACUUGCAACAGCUGUCACGACCUCAUCCGAACUCCGUUUUGGGUGUUCAAGUACUCCUUGGAAUACUUAUGAAGUCUAUUUUCAUAUGGAUCUAGACUCAUAUCCAUAUCUUUUUUGAUGUGGCUGCAAUGACCGAAUUACCACCGAGAGGUUUUCUAUCCAAAAGUGUUGUGUCACCUUAUUUUGGCCCAAUGGGCCGUGUAUCAAGUUGGAUCCAUUAGGGACAUGUCCUAGGGUUGGAGCAUGACCCCAACACCCCCCUGGUCAUCCUCCUAGGUGUUAAUAAGGAUUAGAGCUGCUACAAACAGAUCGGGUUUUAUUUUGUUGAAAGUUUAGCCAUUACUACUUCCUUGUAGACGCGUGUUCGACUAGACCAUUUGUUCUACUUGAUUUAGAACCCCAACUUUAUGAGUUCAUAUUGGUUUUUAUCUCCAUAUUUGCAAUUGAGUUGCUUGUUCUACUUGUUCUUGCUUGUUCCUCGAUUGCUUGCAGGAAUUACCCUAGUGGUUUGGUUGAUCGUGCUCCACAAGAUCGCGGCGACCAUUGGAGGUGGUGUAUCGGUUGCUAAGGCGCAGCACCCUUGGAUAGUUGUAGUCGGGCCGUGAAUGUCGUCUCCAUCCCCAAAUCGAGUUAUCCCAUGCCUCUCAUCGAAAGAUCGGGAAUAAACUCUAGCGGGUUCAUAUCAAAAACCAUUAUUUUUCUUCAACUAAAUCCCUGGUGCUCACUCGAUCCUUGAUGAGUAACCAAAAAAAUACCUUGUGUUUCAUCUGACAUCGAGAUUUCCAAAGCCAGCGAAAUGCUAGGUGAGUGCUUCUGUGCCCAAUUAUUGCUUUGUGGGCUUUUGCUGCUGAAAAUAACUCAUUUCCCCAACUAUAGCUCCAUAAAUCUUUGCCUUCUUGAAGCUGAUUGUUUUCCAGAAUAAGGGAGAGAUCCUGAAAUUGCUUGUAUGCUUGGAUGGAUAAUGGGAGGUGGAAAUUUAAUGAUGGAACCAGCUACACUAGCGCUUGUUUGAGGGUGAUGUUGAUGUUUUUGGCAAAUGAAAAAGUUCAGGGUAUUGUAGCUUCAGGAUUUGAUCGUUCCAAGUGUCCGGCCAAAAAAGCACCGAGGCACCCUCCUUGAUUGAAACUCUAGCAAUACUUUUGAAAGUGUCUAGCAGUUUGACAAUAUCUUUCCACCAAAAGGAUCCCUUCCUUUGCUGACUAGGCAGCUUGCCAUUUGAGUAAUAGUUAUCCCAGACAAGGUGAAUCCAAGAAAUGUUUGUUCUAUUAUAAAACUUGUGGAGGAAUUUCAGAAGCAAUGAGUCAUUGUGAGCUUCAAAAUUGAUAACCCAAGACCACCUUCACAUUUGGGUAAGCAGACCAUUGUCCAUGCAACUUUAGGUGGUUGUUUAUUAUUAAGAUAAGAUCCUCUCCAUAGACAGUGUUUUCUGUACUUAUCCAAUUGUUUGAUCACACCCUUAUAGAGCUUCAAGGUGCAUGAGAAGAAUACUGUAGAUGAAGAAAAGACUGAGUUUACCAUUUCUAGCUUGCCUCCUUGGGUCAGGAAGGAGGAGGUACAUAAUAGUCUUCUCUCAAUUCUUUGGACAAGGGGAAGGAAGUCUUCAAUUUUUGGCUUGGUAGUACCCAGUGGAAGGCUAAGGUUGGUGAAAGGCAGGCUGCCUUUCUGGCAGUUAAAAGUGUUAGCCAAUGACUCAAAUAUGCUAUCAGAGACAUUGAUGGGCACUAUUAGAGUUUUAUUAUAAUUGACCCUAAGACCAGUAGACUCAGCAAAAGUACUCAAAAUAUCCUUUAGUACCAGCAGUUGUGUGGGGCAAGCUUCCAUGAUUACUAGAGUGUCAUCAGCAUAUUGCACAAUAGGGAAGUCACUACUAGCUGUUUCAGGGAGAGGUAAUUUGAGUGCUCCUUGGUCUUUUGCUUUGUUAACCAUAGAUUGCAGCAGGUCUGCAGCUAGGACAAAUAAGAGUGGGGAAAGAGGAUCUCCUUGCCUAACUCCUCUUCUAUAGUGAAAGACUUUUCAAGGUACUCUAUUUAGAAGUACAGCAGAAGUAUCAAAUCCAAGGAUAUCUCUAAUCGAGCCAAUCCACUUGUUAGUGAAGCCUUUGUGCCUUAGGAUUUCCAAGAUAGCCUGUUGUUCCACCUUGUCAGAGGCCAUUUCGAAGUCUAACUUCAAGAUGACCAUUUCCUUCUUUGAAGAUUUACUUAAGUGAAGAUACUCAAAAGCUCAAGCUAAGUAAUCAUGUAUUGUCCUUGUUCUGAUAAAACCAUAUUGGUUAGCAUGUGUUAGGGAGAUGAUGACCUAUUGCAGUCUUUCUGAUAGCAAUUUGGUGAUGAGCUUGAUUGAGGAGUUUAACAAUGAAAUUGGUCAAAAAUCUCCACAACAAGAGGACUGUCCUUUUUUAGCACAAGAGUGAUGUAUGAGCCAUUUGAUGCUUCUUAGACAGACUAUGCCAUCAUGAAAUCCUUCACAGAGCUCAUAGAAUUCCUGAGAGAUCAAAGGCCAGCAUUUUUUCAAGAAUUCACCAUUAAAACCGUCUAGUCCUGUAGACUUAUUAUUUGGUAUAUCAGCAAUGAUUUUAUCAAUUUUCUCCUUAGUGAAAGGGCUUUCCAGCCAUUCUAGAUUUUCUCCAUGUGUCAGCAGGGAGGGAAUAUCAAUGUACAUAUGAGAGUACUCUGAUGUUCCUAACCUUUCCUUGAAUGUGUAGUAGCAGUAAUUUGAGUCAUAGUGGCAAAAUGAUUCAAUGCGUUGACUGUACCCAACUCUGCUCAAUUCUAUUCUUGGGUUAAGAUGCUAUUACACAAAAAUAAGCUCGACCUGCUAAAGAUGAUGCAGUAGCUGAUCGAGAGCGACUUCGGGAAGUAACUUUUCGCGAAGCUGCAGGAUGGAACUUCUGAAGCUUUUCUUGGUUAAGAAACAGUUGUGUUUGCUGCUUUUGUGGCUGAUACUUCUGUGUCUGGUCGGUUGAACGCUCCAGAUGUGAACUCAUCUAGCUUCUUUUCUGAUUAAUUUAAUCCCAUAUCAAAAAUUGAUGAUGGAGGAGCACAACAUAUAGGUGGGCAGCUUUUACCCAUCAUGCUAGUCUUUUGGGUUGAGUUAGGCCCAUAACCUUGUUGUUAUGGGCUUCGGUGGGCGCGGGCUUGUGGUAUAGCGGGUGGGGCCGGAAUCCGAUGCGCACUCUAACAAGUGGUAUCAAAGCUAAGGUCGGGAAACCUGAAAUAUCUCUGGAGUCACAUGGUAAUAGGGGAGGAGGAGCCCGUGAACCUCUUCAGAUAGUUACAUGGGAUUGUUGUGACUGGAGAUGGACUCGGAAUCAACGAUUCAAUCGGUGGUGUCAGACACUCUGACCGGAGAGUUACAUGGGAUUGUUGGACACGUCGAUCGAGUGCACAUGGCAGAGCUAGCAACAGAGCGCGGACAGCAAAGUCGAUAAGAAUAUGGCGUAUAUGGCGUCGCGGGUGGCGAGGCGAGUGCAGUGGCGUGGGCACGGGAAGGCGUGGUGCAGCAGGAGUCCUGGUGGCCUUACGUGCAUAUGGAUGAAAAAGGCUUGUGGCCUCGUAGGCACGUAGGCAGGAAACUAAACAAGAUUCAAGGAAAAAAAUUAUCUCAUCGUUGCGUGAUUAGCGCUGGUGCAAGUAGUAUUCUAUUUUAUUUUGGGCACGGUUUGGAAGUGCAAGGAAAUAAAAUAUGAGAGGGACAGGGACGGACGAGUCCAUCAUGGACUGUACUUGUUCCAGGCAUCAAGUUGUGCAGGAGUCAGGACUCAGGACUGUUGCAGCUCAGGUUGGACUUGGAUACGACGUGGUGGGCACGCAAGCAAAGUAACCGUGUGCGACUCGGAAAAGAAGCCAGGGGUUGGCGCUAGCUAUCGUGCACAUAAAAGGCAGGCACAGGGGAGCUUCGGAGGCAGACAAGCAAAGCAAGGCAAUCUUGCAGAAACACAGGCAGGGCUACACGGCCUGGCAAAGGCGUUUCAGCUAGGGGAUUGCGCUUGGAAAUUCGGUCAGCUAGCAGGUUUUCCGUACUGGGCGAUUGCGAGGAUUGUGCGGUGCGCAUAUUGAUCGGCCAACGCUGGUGAAGCAGUCUGGCGAACGACGGCGGGAUUGAGGAGCAGGACGAUCUGCUCGGUGACGCGGUCAAUAAGUCGGACGGAUCGGCGGUGUCACUGGCAACAAAGGGUCGGUCAAACCGCGUGUCAGCAGGAUGUCGACACUAGGCAGAUUUGAGGUGGUGAAGCUCGAUGGCUCUGGCAACUUCGAAUUAUGACAAAUAAGGGUCAGAUUUGAGGUGGUGAAGUUCGAUGGCUCUGGUAACUUUGAAUUAUGGCAAAUAAGGGUCAAGGAUUUGUUGACGCAAUAGGGGAACUUGACGGGCCUGAAGGAGAAGCCAAAGAACAUGGAGAAGGUUGACUGGGAGGAGAAGCAGACAAAGCAGACGCUAGCGGCCGCAACCAUUCGGUUAUGUCUAUCAGAUCAGGUCAUGCACCAUGUCAUAGGACUAAGACACCGAAGCAAAUAUGGGACAAGCUGAAAACUCAAUUCAUGUCGAAAACUGUGACGACCAAGUUGUAUCUGAAGCAGAAGUUGUAUGGGCUGAAGAUGCUGGAGGGGUCGGAUCUUGCAGGGCACGUCAAUGUUUUCAGUCUGAUGGUCACAGACCUAGAGCAACUGGGUGUGACGGUUAAUAAUGAAGACAAGUCAAGUAUUCUUCUGUGUUCACUUCGAUCAUCUUAUGAGCACGUGAUCACGACGGCAAGGAAAGCAUCAAAGUUGAGGAUAUUACUGCAACGUUAUUGGCUCGGGAAUAAAGGAGAAAGAACAAUGCAGUGGAUGGACCUCUGGGUGAUGCGUUGCUAGUCAAAGGUGAGCAUAGCAAGGAGAAGGUGAAUAGGUGAAGGAAAAGAUGAAAAAGAAAGUGUGGUGCUUUGAUUGCGGUGAGUUAGGACAUGUGAGGAGGGAUUGUCCGGAAAAGAACAAGAAGGCAAGUGCUAAUGUUGCUAUUUCUAAGAGUGACUCGGACAAGAUGGUGAUGUUCUCUCGGUAUCAGACAGCGUGUAAUCAACUGAAGCGUGGGUGUUAGAUUCAGUUAGCUCUUUUCAUGCAACGAACAAUGCACGAACAAGGAGUGGUUCACUUUGUACAAGUCUGGUGAUUUUGGCUUAGCCUAUUUGGAUGAUAGCACGGGUUACUGUGCUAUUAGAGUAGGCGACAUCAAGAUCAAGACGCAAGAUGGAGGUGGGCAGGUGCUUCGGGGUGUUAGGCAUGUGUCGGGGCUGCGUAGGAAUCUAAUUUCGCUUGGAGUUCUACAUGGUGAUCGUAUGUAUUCUGGGCUGAGUCGGAUGGGAAGAUCAUGAAGGGAGACGAGGCUGUGAUGAUAGGAGAGAGGACGGCAUCGCAUCUGUACAAGCUGCAAGGGUGCACAGUUGCAGGUGGAGUCAUGGAAGAUGGAGUUGUAUGGAUAGUGGUGUCUUUUGAAGGCGGCGGGUCUGAGACCAGGUCAGACUCGUCGGGUGGAUCACCUUGAGCUACAAAGUCAGCAACCUAAGUCCGGUGUACACGGAGGUUCGCGCAUGAUGGCUUCAAGAUGGUGAAUAUUCACCAAGGUGGAUAUUGUUAGAGUUGUGUCGAAUAUUGUGUACUAGUUGGUUAUGUUUGGACUUGAAGUUAUAUUAACGGUAGGAUGUAGAGUAUGUGUCGGACUCUUGUAACCCUGACUCCUCAUAAAUAUGAGAGGAGGACUGCUGUUGUAACCAUCACAACAUAGCGACAGGCUCGAGGGGGGGAGGCGGCAUAUUGUCGGGACCCCAGAGCGACCGAUGUUGCAGUUUGGGGAGGAGCACCCUUAGUCGUGCCCGAGGAUGUAGGCUUCGGCUAAACCUCGUCAACAAAUAUCGUGCCUCCGAUGUCGUCUAUGAUCUCGCAUACAUUAUCUUGGUAGAUCAAUCAUUGCUUCUGCGCGCUAUUAUUCUAACGUACCAGGGCCGAAGGUCGGGAAACCUGGAACAUCUCCGGGGGUCACAUGGUAACGGGGGAGCCUGUGAACGUCUCCAAAGGGUCACAUGGGAUUGUUGUAACCAGAGAGUUGGACUCUAGGUCUUGGAUAAUGUCUUCUAGGAGAUCACAUGAGUUGCUUGUGAUGGAAGAGUUGGGCCCGAUAUGUGACGGGGAAAUUGUUAGGUUUAGUCCCACAUCAAAAAUUGAUGGUGGGGGAGCACAACAUAUAGGUGGAAGCAGCCCUCACUCAUUAGGUUAGUCUUUUGGGUUGAGUUAGGCCCAAAAUCUUGAUGUUGUGGGCUCCAAUGGGCGCCAGCUCGUGGGUACAGCGGGUCGGGUCGGAAUCGCUGCGCACUCUAACAGUUUCUCAUUGGAACUAUCUUUUCCUUGCAUCAAUCUCAUUGGAACUAUCUUUUCCUUGCAUCAAUCUGUAUAGCAUGAACAAUGCUUUCUAUUGCUGAGGCAAUGGGGGAAAACGGAAGAACCCUUUCUGGAAAAGAUUCAGAUUCUGGCCUAAAAUGGUAGCCAUCAUCAUGUUCAUUUACUGCCGAGAAGCUACUUCGAAUCGCCGAAGGAUUCAUGCCCGUAUGUUGCUGAUUCACAACGUUAGUAUUGCGCACUUUUAUCCCCCUAUUGAUUUGCCCUACUCAACUGGAACAAAAUAAGCAAGUAAGAUACAGAAAUCAAAUAAAUGUGCCUAUUGUUUCAUUCUCGUUAAUCUGACCGUAAAUGUCACAAUCAAUAACCAAGCCAGUCUGGCAUUACCGGUGUAAAACAAACAAAUAGCGGUACAUCCUGCUGCAAUUUAGAAGCUUCAAAAAAAUAAGAAUAGUUGAACCCAGGAAGGAGGAAGUAAAAUCAGCUCCGCCAGCCAAUACAACAAUCUUCUACUCUAAGGUGAGGUCCCUAGAAUACAAUGCCACAAGCAGAACUACAUGUGUAUGUACAGUAUGAACAAUUGGUUGAACGGUGAAAAAUGCGCUAACAAUAGGUUAGCCCACAACAACAAAGUCCUGUCUUCCCCCCAGCCUGAAACCAAUGCGUGUUUGUGGAAAGACCAACAGAGAGCAGGGUUUGUUCGCAACAGAAGCAGCAAUCUUGCCUUACCAGCUAUUCAGCUAUCCCUCAGUCAGUCAUCAUGCUCUGCUGAGAAAUCUGGCUCCGAUGGUUUCCUGAACUUAGGCAAUUCUUUGAUGAUGCUUACUCCUCUCCUAAGCGUGAAAUUCUGUUCGGGGGAGCCAUGGCCUUCGUAUGACCUCAUGGAGGAGAAUGAUUCCCUCAUUCUCAGGUCCUUGGCCAUCUUCCUCCUCUUGUGGCGGCGCCAAGCAUGCUGGAUAAAGCACGCGGCCCAUGUCUUCCAAUGGUGAGAGUAGUACCGGAAAGUGUGUUGCAGCUUCCUGCUGUGGAGGCGCCUGAAUUGGCUGGCGACAAACCUGAGGUCCUCAGCUCGGAGAGCAAAUGCCUCAACUUCGAGGAUUGCCUUCACCGUCCGAGUGGAUGAUGGCAGGUUGACAGUAGGCUUGGGAACUAGAGCCCAUUCGAGGAGCUCUUCGCCGCAGAAUUCACCAGGUUUGAGGGUGAUUGAAUUGAAGAAACCCGUCCGACCACCAUCUGUAGUGGAACUUUCCAGCUUACCACGAAUGAUAAAGAGCAUCUCAGUCACCAGGUCACCUUCACGGACAAUAUAUGUACCCUCUGUGCUCAAGGAAGAUACAAGACGCUCACAGAUGGCAUCUAGAAGUUGAUCGUCCAUCUGGGAGAAAAGUGGGACCUGCAGCAUUGCAAUAUAAUAAUAAAAUACUCAGUCAUCAGGUUAUCCGCAACCCCAUGAAGUUUUCCAUUAGUGUUACAUGUGUGACAUUCAGACAUUCAUCACCUCAUAAGAAAUAAGCAUUCAACUAACACUAUCAACUGUGUUGCUGACCAAAAAAAAUGAGAGUGCAGAGAUAGUAAAUUUACCCGACGAACAAGAUCCAGGCACAGGUGGCGCUUAAUGUCACGGCGAAGAUCUGCAGGCAGAGCAAUCAAUAUAGAUUCUUCAUCCACACCUCGAGUUGCCAGCCACUUGUAAUGAAUAAAUCUUCUCACUCUUUCCCGCAAUUCAUGGGGUAGUUGCCGAUGUCUCAUCCACUCCUCAGUAUCUUUCUGCUUUAUUCUCCAUUCCUCAACCCUUGCAGUGAUUGAUUGCAGGUAGGUCUAGCAGACAAUAUAAUUUGAUAAGCAGUGUUCCUUGUCAACGAACUGCUGGAAUUACCCAGCAAAAACAAAAUCUAACUAAUGCAUCGACAUGAUGGGAUUGGGGAGCUUGUUCGGUAAGGUUAACUGGUUCAGAUUUCAACGUACUGACUUAAGAAGAGUUAAAACGUUUUGCAGGUUUAAAAGCACUAUGUACUAUCACACAUUCGAACAGAUGCACAUACACUACCUAAGUGGGAUAUGAACUGGAAAGUAUGAACAAAUCAACAAAUCAAGACCAAAAUCUCAGGGUUCUUACUCCCCAUUGCAAGUAGCAUAGAUGAAAGUACCUGGACUUUUCCAAUCAAAUGCGCAAACAAGACAAGACCGACCAUCGCCAAGAAUAUAGCAUACAGUGUCUCCCCAAGAAAGGUACUCACAGUCAAUGUUUGGCCAUAGCAACUGUUAAAAAAUGGGGCACCAAAAUAGCAUGUUAGAAAUGUAAUAUGAUCAUCAUAUGUAUCUUUAGAUUAAUUGCUCUUGUUUAUCUUCGUGUGCUUUUGCCCCAUGCAUAGCCCAAACAUAGAUCUGCUUUUGUUGUCACUGAUUUUUUUUAACAGAGAACACUAAUAUAAUUACUAUUUGAACUUCCACAAGUAAUAAAUUAACAGCCAUGCAUAUUUUCUUUGAGACACAAUUAACAGUCAUAAGAGAGCACGUGUUCAACUAAAGUCAUACCUUAGAUUCUGCAAGCCCCACCAAAGGCAAUAGACAUAUUUCUUCAGGAAGCUCUGAUUAGGAGUUUCGUUGUAUAACAGUGGCUGGAACAUACCAAAGUCAAAAUCGGGUUUGCUACUAGCAUUACAUCUAGAAAAGACUAAGGUUCCGUUCCAACUAGGAUCUGGUAUUACACCACAAUACAGAUACCGAAUUUCAGUCUCAUUGCAAUAUUUUUUCCAACAUGCGAACUGGCGAUCAACGGAUAGAAGGUACCAUAGUGCUCCUAAAACCUGAAAGAAAAGACUGCAUCAUUAGAAGUACCACUAGACGAUAGCAAAGACAGAACAAAUUGGUAGCACAGUCUAAAAGUAAUACGGCAAAUUCCAAGAUAUGAAAUGGUAAAACAUUUCAAGUAUUACUCAUAUAAAGAUCAUACAUGGCUAGCAAUCAUGUAUAACAGCAGAUUGUAUGCAGCUCCUUGCCAGGCAGUCUUUGCAAAAACUCCAGUAAUUUUGACUAUUUUAUUAUUCAAGGAAAUCAUGAGGUAUAAUCGUAGGAUAUACUGGAAAAGAGCAACCAGAAGCAGCAUGUCAUUGCCAUGCUCAGACGACGAAUAUUUGAUAGCUGGUAUCACAGACCAAAUAAUGAUCUGCAAGAAAAGAAAAAUUAUCAGAUACUAAGAUUAUGGCCAAAACUCAGAACAUCGGAUAUCAGAUGGUUUCAACAUCACAACCUCUCAUCUAUAGCAUAUAAUCUUUAAGGGUAAGAAAUUGAGAAGCCAUGUUUCUUGUUUUUUUUAAUAACUUUUUUCCACAAGAGACCAGGUGUACCAUCCUACCAGGGGGGUAUGGUGAAUGAAAUAGUAGGUGAAAUUUUAAAAAGAAAACUCGUCUUGGUAAUUCAGCAGCAGCCAUUUGAAUGAAAACAACAAUAGGUCAAGAACAAAGUAUAGACACAACUCAACAGGUUGCAGCAUUCAGUUUCGAAAAUGAGAUGAAUUACCUGUGGUAAAGGCAAUGAAGCCACUAAAUCAACUGCAAAGUCAGAUCUUAAAUACUGCUUUGCAAUUUCCUUAUGAUCUGUGAUGAGAUCUCCUCGACCAAAAACCCCUAAUUUUGAGUUUGGAUUAAUAUAAGCGGUCCUGAACUUUAUUAUUAUCUGGAUGGCAUAAAAGAGAUCAACAAUUGAUCGGAAGACAGUAACGAUGAUGGCUAUGCGUCUAUCCUUCCCAGCACAAGGAAUGGUUGGUGUGCCAGCAGGAGUUGGCCUGUAAUCGAUUAUAGGCACAUAGAAAUACAGAGGAUCCAUGAACAGAGCAAUGAAGCAUGACACACGGAAGAUGUAGGUCCAUGUCAAGAUGAAGUCGCUUGAUGGGUCAAUAAUCUUGUUGUACCACAAGUCAUCUCCUGCCACAAAAAUCUUGUUUUUCCCUGAACUUCCCAAGCCAAGCCUGCUAGCAGCCAGCCCAUGCUGUUUCUGGUGAAUGGGUAUAGUUGCCUUUGCCCUCUCAUCAUGGAAUCUGGGAAUGAAAAUAGCAUUAGGAUUGCCCUAAAAGGUAACACUAAAAAUGGCAUGUUGGACGCUUCAGUGAUUAUUUGUUCAUAUCACUAUAUCAGUCAUCAGUUCAUCACCAUCAGCAUACCCUGAAAUGGUAUGUCUUGCUAUCCGUCCAUCAAUAUAGCUACUCCCCUGGCUAAUUCUACUCACCAGAAACUAGACUAUUACAAUCAGAUAAGAAAUUCACGAAACUCGCUACACAAAUAGUCUUAGAAUCACUAAAUUUGGCUAACUUCUUAAGUCAAGUAGAUUAUCCAUUCAAGAAACUAAAAUCAAACGCCCAAUUCCAGGUUCCUCACGGGAACUAACCACGAGCUCACGAACUACAAACAAGGCCAAGAGCAUGUCACCAACCAACUUGCCAACCGAAACAAAGUGCUCUUCCUGCCCAAUCUCCUCAGAAACCAAGAAAAUUCGCAGCAAAACUGCGCCUUUUCCCAUACUUUCGAUCACCUCAAGCCACCAACCACCCCCCAAGUCCCCAAAAUAUCUCCAACCCCACGAGCACAGACCUCAAACAGCAAACCAACACGGUAACACCGAGUUCUUUCUUCUUUUAGCGCUCACCUGACGGUCCGCUGCCUCGUGAGCGCCAUCUCGUCCUCCACCCUCCUCGAACCGAACAUCAUGGAGUCAGCCCGCUACUCCGCCGCUACACUGACAGGCAGCUCGCCCAAGAAACCGCCUUCCUCGCUCAUCCGGCGCCGGAGCAGCCGGAGGCCGGUCCUCCGCCGGGGUGGACACCGGGAAGGGGGUGCUCGGACGCUGGGAAUCGCAGCCGCCCGCGCGGAGUUCGAGGAAGGGAGGGGAGGGAAGCUACAGGGAAUGGAAGUUGGAAAGCGAGAACUGCCGGGGAGAAGACAGGAGACCGUGCGCUGGGUUGGACUUGACCUGUUGGAGAUGAAACUGAAGAAGUCCAUCCAAUCCAAUGGUUGUUAGGGGUGAAUAUGGAAAUUUUACAGUUGACCUCGUCGCCAAGCUGCUGUAAAAAAAUCAUUAAAUCAGAUUCCGAUGCGAAGCACAAGCUCCUGAAAUUGAAUGUUUAGAUACUAAUUAGGAGUAUUAAACAUAAACUAAUUACAAAAUCAAUUGUACAGAUGGAGGCUAAUUUGCGAGACGAAUCUAUUAAACCUAAUUAGUCCAUGAUUUGACAAUGUGAUGCUACAGUAAACAUGUGCUAAUGAUGGAUUAAUUAGGUUUAAUAGAUUCAUCUCGGGAAUUAGCCUCCGUAAUUAGUUUUAUAAUUAGCUCAUGUUUAGUCCUCCUAAUUAGUCUCCGAAUAUUCGAUAUGACAUGAAUUUUAAUCCGAACUAAAUAUGUGAACACCCCUUAGUGUGCAGGCACGGCAACGGAGAUUACAAAAGUACAGUUCGGUUUGGGGGGCAGGGGCCGAGACCCCCCGAGCCAUGCAAAUUUAUACUAUAUAAUAUCCAAAUUUUGACUAAAUUUAGAAAAUCUCAACAGUAUUGGCCCCUCUAAGAAUGAAGAUUUUGAGUUCCUGGCUUCAUCCCUAAUUAAUUGUAAUCUUAAAGCUUACUAAAAGAGUAUCGUAAUGACCUGAGUAUUCGAUCGAACUUUAAAAUUGGUAAAGCUAGUUGUGCUUUAAAACGGCACGCUUUUGUGAGGGGAAGGUAUUUUACGAGCAUGAUCAUGAAUGCUAUAUUCAUCUUAAAAUUCUUUACAAUUUCGGGAUCAAAAAAUAGGCUAAAAAAACCAAAGUCACUUAGAACUUGACACCGUAUAGAAGUUGUACUGUUGUCAUAGGCCGUGUUUGUUUCGGCGGUGGCAAGUAGCGCAUAUAGCAGCCGCGCGGCGCUGUAUCGCCACAAUUUUUCUGCGGCUGCGUUUCCGCGGUAUGCGGUUCAAAUCCCAUCAUGAGGCUGAAGCGCCACGCAGAAGCAGAACGCGGUUUGACACGAUUCUACACGGUGGGCUGCCGCACCGUGAGAAUAAGCGGUUCCAAACGGGACCACAGUGCCCCCUUCACGAUCCAUGAUGACACCUCUCCCUUUCUUUAUCGCUCUUGCGUUGAAUAUAUUGUGAUAAAGGCUUUAUUGUAAGCGAUAUUUUAAUUAAGCUGUCUUUAGAACACCUAUUUAUAUUCCGUUUGUUUCUUUUCUCUCCCACGCGUUUCGUUUGCUAAGUUGUUUACUUUUUUUUUGCGGAAUUUUUUUCUGCGGAAAGUUGUUUACUUGUUUAUACGCUUUGUCGUGGCACUUCAAUACUCCUGUGAGCACGUAACUAUAAAAAAAAGCGUUUCACGUGCACCUGUUCGUUUGAGUGGUUCUGUACUGUGGGGGCUAUUGCCAAGACUCUCCAUCAACUGACAACUGUCUUGUGUCAAUUGGCUCGCAGCCUCACACAGCAUGGUACAGGGGGAAAAACACUCGUCGUCUACAUGCAUAAAGAAAAGAAUGUCACCAUCUACGUUGUAAUACUGGCCCAGAUCGGCGAUGCAACGACCAACAAAGCCGAGCCAGCGCCGUAGCACGUCGGGUACUCGAUGUGACGUGAUGUGCUGGCGCGGUCGCCUGGCCUCGUCUGCUUGCUGCAGCCUGCAGCUAGCCGCCCACCGGCGCAUCACCUAACCCACCAGUAGACUUGGGCUUGGAUUGGCACAACGGUAUGCAAACAUGCUGAUGCUGGACGACAUUAGAAGAACCAUCGUUGAACAAAAAUCAACAGCACAACAAACCGGGUCAGAAACAUGGAGUUAGGAGUAGAUAUCUAACCAUCAACCUGAUGGUUACCAUCAUGCAUCUACCAUUGUAUAUCCAAUAGCAUCUGGCAUUCUACCAUCUUCAGUCCCACAUUUAACCUAUCAAACAGGACUACAAGCUAAAGAGAACAUAUCAUCUGCUAAAUAACCACAAAAUGGCAGCAAAUGACGGGUCGAGGAUUCAGCCUCAUCGCAGGCUCUAUGAAGAACAUCAAUCAGGAAGGAUUGGCUUCAUCGCAGGCUCUAUGAAGAACAUCAAUCAGGAAGGCACUCAGAAGGCAUCUACGAAGAAUAUCAAUCAGGACCAUGCGGUGGAGGCGGCAAAAGGCGAGGAAGCUCCUUUGCUGAAGGCAUCGGUCCUCCUCUGUUGAAGGCAACAUGUGGGGGGGGGGGGGGGGGGGGGGGGGGGGGGGGGGGGGCGAGCAGCGGAUGCGGAGCAAGGCCAAAGGUCGACUCGAGUCAACGUAGCAGCCUGGUCAAUUCACUUUUGGGCGCUCACUUACCUGGGUCUUCUGAAGGCAUCAUACACCACACGGGUGAGUCAGCCAUCUAAAUACUGCAGCUCCUGAAGCAGGUGCAGUCCAUGGAGACCCAGCCCGCGGAGAAACUUACCAGAUGCUGCAUUUGUCAGCACAAUCAAACCUUACCAAAUGGUAUGAGAAGGAAGAUCAUUACUGCUUUGAGACGCGCAGCAUCUUCAACGAAGCAAAUGGACCGCGAAGAGGCGCUGUAGGCAGACUAACAUGCAGCGUUCACAUUUGACCGAAUGAAGGGUGCGAGGGCGUGCGAAGAAUGAAGAGCGCAGAACAAAACCAUGAAGACAUAACUGAAAGCCGUAGUCGGCCGAGUCGUUUAAGCGGUGCAGGACGAUGCCUUUAUACCACACAAGAAAAGACAGGUGGUCUUAGUUCAAUAAAUACACCCACCAGUAUGUUUUACUACUGAUUAUAAAGUAGACACAAUCAUAAUAAGAUAGAUAAAAGUUAUGAGAACCUUAACCAAAAGUCAAGCAGCCCACGAAGCAUCUUUCCGGUAGGUUACUGAUCAUAACUGGCAGGCCAAAGAGCAACAUCUGUCACAGAACACUCAUC